CCUACGGGGGGCAGCAGUGGGGAAUAUUGGACAAUGGGGGCAACCCUGAUCCAGCCAUGCCGCGUGUGUGAAGAAGCCCCUCGGGUUGUAAAGCACUUUCAGUGAGGAAGAACGCCUGGUGGUUAAUACCCAUCAGGAAAGACAUCACUCACAGAAGAAGCACCGGCUAACUCCGUGCCAGCAGCCGCGGUAAUACGGAGGGUGCGAGCGUUAAUCGGAAUUACUGGGCGUAAAGCGCGCGUAGGUGGCUUGAUAAGCCGGUUGUGAAAGCCCCGGGCUCAACCUGGGAACGGCAUCCGGAACUGUCAAGCUAGAGUGCAGGAGAGGAAGGUAGAAUUCCCGGUGUAGCGGUGAAAUGCGUAGAGAUCGGGAGGAAUACCAGUGGCGAAGGCGGCCUUCUGGACUGACACUGACACUGAGGUGCGAAAGCGUGGGUAGCAAACAGGAUUAGAUACCCUUGUAGUC
rnacentral:rRNA from 1 species